rnacentral:rRNA from 1 species
UACCAGCACCCCGAGUGGUCGGGAUGAUUAUUUGGCCUAAAGCAUCCGUAGCCGGCGCAGCAAGUCUUCCGUUAAAUCCACCUGCUCAACAGAUGGGCUGCGGGAGAUACUGCUGCGCUAGGAGGCGGGAGAGGCGAGGGGUAUUCCAUGGGUAGGGGUAAAAUCCUCUGAUCCAUGGAGGACCACCAGUGGCGAAGGCGUCUCGCCAGAACGCGCUCGACGGUGAGGGAUGAAAGCUGGGGGAGCAAACCGG